rnacentral:misc_RNA from 1 species
CACAUUCAACUUUAAGAUUAUAUCUGCAUGAAAAUAAAAUAAGUUAGAAACAAUUUAAUAUCUGGCAAUCUAGGAUAAUUCUGGAUACAAAUAGGUUAUGGCAUGAAAACCUGCUUCACGUAAAAAGAUAUUAUAAUUCUAGUUGGACUACGAUUUGAAUAUUCAUUUAUUUCUAUUUUCUUUAAGAGGUAAAUCACCUUCUGCAAUCUAUACUCUCUUCAAAAGAAUGAAUAAACAAGCAUAUGAUUAUUAUGUAUAACAACUUCUUAAAGAAGCCAAUUUGUUGAGUUAUAGCUCAUAUUUGUUAGAGAAGAAUUUACUAUCCCUGGGAAAAGGGAGGAGCUCUGGCUCUGCAAUGAGGGGCAGAAUGCUAUUUGUAUGAGGAAUCCUGUUCGGAUAAAUCUUAUUUGUACGGUGUUGAUGGUCUUGGCACUUUUU